UGACGAACGCNGGCGGCGUGCUUAACACMUGCAAGUCGAACGAGGAACAUAGAGCUUGCUCUUUGUAACCGAGUGGCGAACGGGUGAGUAACACGUGACUAACCUGCCUUCGAGAGGGGGAUAACCUGGGGAAACCCGGACUAAUACCGCAUAUAGUCCAAGAGUCUUAUGUCUCAUGGAUAAAAGAGAGCCUCUGCUUGCAUGCUCUCACUCGAAGAGGGGGUCGCGGCGUAUCAGCUAGUUGGUGGGGUAAUGGCCUACCAAGGCGACGACGCGUAGCGGGUCUGAGAGGACGAUCCGUCACAUUGGGACUGAGAUACGGCCCAGACUCCUACGGGAGGCAGCAGUGGGGAAUAUUGCGCAAUGGCCGAAAGGCUGACGCAGCGACGCCGCGUGUGGGAGGAAGCCUUUCGGGGUGUAAACCACUGUCUGGGGGGAAGAACUUCGUGGGUGUUAAUAACACCUACGGUUGACGGUACCCCUAGAGGAAGCGCCGGCUAACUCCGUGCCAGCAGCCGCGGUAAGACGGAGGGCGCAAGCGUUGUUCGGAAUUACUGGGCGUAAAGGGCGGGCAGGCGGUCUGUUAAGUCUUUUGUGAAAAUCCGGAGCUCAACUCCGUGAAAUGCAGAAGAUACUGGCAGGCUGGAGACCGGUAGAGGCUAGCGGAAUUCCUGGUGUAGCGGUGGAAUGCGUAGAUAUCAGGAAGAACACCUGUGGCGAAGGCGGCUAGCUGGGCCGGGUCUGACGCUGAUCCGCGAAAGCGUGGGUAGCAAACAGGAUUAGAUACCCUGGUAGUCCACGCCGUAAACGAUGGGCACUAGAUGCCGGGUAUAUAGACGUAUUCGGUGUCGUAGCUAACGCAUUAAGUGCCCCGCCUGGGGAGUA
rnacentral:rRNA from 1 species